AGAACUUUUUGCAAAACUGAUAAAAGCAACCAGUCAACAAGAAUGUACUAAACCUCCUUCAGCAUUGACUACUUAGUCAAAGGCUGGGGAGGUUUGGGGCAUGUCUGUGAAACUCACCCAUGCCAUCUGGAAAGGAAAAAGUUAAGUUGCAUUUCUGCAAUACAUUCUCUCCCUUCCCUGAGCUGCUCCUGGAAUAUAAAGAAAGCAAGGAAAUAUUUACUGGGCCUUCAGCUUUCUGUACUACUUCGGAACAGCACUAGCAUCUAUCUCAGGGUUUAAAAUAUGGAAGUUCUUGCCUUCCUUGAAUCUUUUCUCCCAGAAAUAACAUAUUGGCUCUCUUCCCUGUGACAUGCCUCAUCUGACAUUGGCUGGCUUUCAUAUAAAACCUUUGUUUUAGCCUACUAUCAAUUCAACUUUUACAUUGACAAAACGUAAUUUUUGGUUGUCAAUGUAAAAGUUGACAUUUUUACAUUCAACUUUAAUUUAAAUGCUGAAUUUAAAUUUAAAUGCUGAAAAUUUAUUUAAACACUUAAAAUGAUAUUAGAAGAGGUAUUUUAUGUUUUUAAACAGAGAUAUAUUUCAUUUUUAUAUGCAGUCAACAGAUCACAUGUGUAUGUCUCUUAUGUGUUCCUGUGUGGGAAUAGCUUGAAUUACUACAUAAGUUCUCUGAGAAUAUUAAGUUCAUUUAGGGGAACAGGACAUAUCUAUAUGAAAAACAGAAAUAAUACUACAAACAAAAGAGAGAUCACGAGAUAACAUGUAAUUAAUUCUCAGUGAAUGACAUGUCAUGAAAUCAUCAGAAGAGAUGAGGAUAUGGGAAAAGCUUUAUGAAAGUAGUCAGAACCAUAAGGAAGAUUCGGUUUUGUUAAACAGAAAGACCUUUUUCCAUUGUGGUAUUAAGUUUAAUAUGAUUUUCAUUGUAUUAAAAUACUAAUGCAGUAAGUUGAAAAUAUAAUUGCAUUCUUUUCAUUUAAUCUAUUGUAAAAUAUAUAAUCAAAAUGAUAUACUUGUAAAAUAAUUACAUAUAUAAUAAAAUCAAUAUACCUGUAAAAGAA
rnacentral:lncRNA from 10 species